rnacentral:piRNA from 1 species
UCCUUCUAGGGCGCUGUAAUCAACU